CAUGAGAGCUUGCUCUUGAUGACGACCGCCGUACGGGUGCGUAACGCGUAUGCAACCUACCUACUACAGGGGGAUAGCCACUGGAAACAGUGAUUAAUACCCCAUAAUGCAGGCACUCCACCUGGAGAUAUUGCUAAAGAUUUAUCGGUAGUAGAUGGGCAUGCGUAAGAUUAGCUAGUUGGUAGUGUAACGGACUACCAAGGCGACGAUCUUUAGCGGGUCUGAGAGGAUGAUCCGCCACACUGGUACUGAGACACGGACCAGACUCCUACGGGAGGCAGCAGUAGGGAAUAUUGGUCAAUGGGGGGAACCCUGAACCAGCCAUGCCGCGUGCAGGAAGACAGCCUUCUGGGUUGUAAACUGCUUUUAUCAGGGGGGAAUUAUUGGGAUGCGUCCCAAAGUUGACAGUACCUGAUGAAUAAGCACCGGCUAACUCCGUGCCAGCAGCCGCGGUAAUACGGAGGGUGCGAGCGUUGUCCGGAUUUAUUGGGUUUAAAGGGUGCGUAGGCGGAUUAAUAAGUCAGUGGUGAAAGUCUUAGGCUUAACCUAAGGAUUGCCAUUGAUACUGUUAGUCUUGAGUAAAGUCGAGGUAGGCGGAAUUUAUGGUGUAGCGGUGAAAUGCAUAGAUACCAUAAGGAACACCGAUAGCGAAGGCAGCUUACUAGACUAUAACUGACGCUGAGGCACGAAAGCGUGGGUAGCGAACAGGAUUAGAUACCCUGGUAG
rnacentral:rRNA from 1 species